rnacentral:snRNA from 1 species
ACACUAAAAGUGGUGUACAAU